rnacentral:snRNA from 1 species
CUGACUUCUAGGUCUUUUGGCUAAGAUCAGGUAUCUGCUCUUACCAGUUUAAUACCUGCUACGUCCUCUAUCCGAGGACAAUAUAUUCAAUGUAUUUUUGAAAGUAGGCGCUCCGUUCACGCCAUGAAUCAACCUGGUAUUGUAGAACUUUUAGGAACGGUGCACCCACC